rnacentral:rRNA from 1 species
GACGAACGCUGGCGGCGUGCCUAAUACAUGCAAGUAGAACGCUGAAGGAGGAGCUUGCUUCUCUGGAUGAGUUGCGAACGGGUGAGUAACGCGUAGGUAACCUGCCUGGUAGCGGGGGAUAACUAUUGGAAACGAUAGCUAAUACCGCAUAAUAGUAGAUGUUGCAUGACAUUUGCUUAAAAGGUGCACUUGCAUCACUACCAGAUGGCCCUGCGUUGUAUUAGCUAGUUGGGGGGGUAACGGCACACCAAGGCGAAGAUACAUAGCCGACCUGAGAGGGUGAUCGGCCACACUGGGACUGAGACACGGCCCAGACUCCUACGGGAGGCAGCAGUAGGGAAUCUUCGGCAAUGGACGGAAGUCUGACCGAGCAACGCCGCGGGAGUGAAGAAGGUUUUCGGAUCGGAAAGCUCUGUUGUAAGAGAAGAAAGAGUGUGAGAGUGGAAAGUUCACACUGUGACGGUAUCUUACCAGAAAGGGACGGCUAACUACGUG